ensembl:snoRNA
GGCCUUUGUGUUGCCCCUUCGCUCAUGGAAACUAGUGAAUGUGGGGUCAAAAAAGGCAUACAGGGAAUGCUUUGCAACCUUUUCCUGCCCUUAGACUGUGUAUCUUCCGGGCAGGACUCCCACAAGUAACUGUU